rnacentral:tRNA from 1 species
GGAAGCGUCGCAUAGUGGCCAAUUGCACACGCUUGGAAAGCGUGACCGUUCUUCGGUUCGCGGGUUCGAAUCCCGCCGCUUCCGCCA